rnacentral:misc_RNA from 1 species
CUUGCACCUCCACUUUCUCUACUGCACUCAAGAAUUCAAAAAUCAUCCAUAAGAUAUGUGAAUCAGCAAAAUCUAGAGUCUAGUUAUAGCUGCGGACCAAAUUUUCUAUAUAAAACACAUUUUCAUUGUUUUUAUGGUUAAGAUCUCUAGUGCUUCUUAUUAUGCAUCCGAAAUCUGAGGACGCACAACACAGUUCAGCAAAAAUAGAUAACCAGCAAGACUUCAUGUUCGUUUUUGUAGUCAUUUUGGAUCUGGGACAGGCCUUCAUCAUGAAAAGGUUCAACCAGCCCAGUACAAAUGUACUUAGACGCAGGGUGCAUGUUCAGUUCAGGCCUAAUAAAUCAAGCGAUUUCAUUUGCAUGCAGGAAAAAAGCAUGGAAGAUUUAAGUGUCUGCUUGCAGAAUCAAACCAUGUCAUUCGGAAACAAAAACACAAGGGAAUACAAACCUUCAGCACCGGUGUCACCAUCAU